GGCCACAUGACUUCCACUCUUUCCUUGCAUCUUCCAACUUCCCUGUUCCCAUGCUUGUUUCCUGUUCCUUUUUCUUUUGAGUUUCUCUGCCAGGAAGUGUUGCACAAAGUGAUACUUUGGGAUGUGCAGUAGAGGGGCCACGGGACAUUAAUCCUGCUCUCAGAGGUCCCUUUAGAAAAAACAUCCUUUAAAUGCCAACAAAGAUUUAAGCCAAAAGGUUUUAAUUUUUAAACUGAUGAACAAUUUGUCCAGAGUCAAAACAUUUGUGCUGAUAAUGGUGCUGUGCCCUGAGGGAGCUAAUUUGCCUAUCUUACAUUGCUUGACUUUCCUGCUCACAGAUAACUCAGCCCAGUGAUAUCCCAUGUUGUAACCCAGUUCAAGACUCAGACCCACUCUUGCAAGAAGGACGUGCUGCAUCUUUGGAAAACCUGAGUGAAAUGCACCUCCUCUCCAUGUGAAAGCAGAGGGUGCAGAACAGAAGAUACUUGUGCACCCUGACAAGAACAGAAACACUGAAAACAUGAUGCCAAUGGCAGGCAACAACCUGAAGGACUCUUAAAAUGUAUUGUGGGCCCUUUUCCCCUCCACCGAGCACUGCAAACACACUUCCUCUUCUAGGAAAUUAAACUCUUAACAGACA